CCUACGGGGCGCAGCAGUGGGGAAUAUUGGACAAUGGGCGAAAGCCUGAUCCAGCCAUGCCGCGUGUGUGAAGAAGGCCUUCGGGUUGUAAAGCACUUUCAGUGGGGAAGAAAGCCUUGGGGCUAAUACCCUCGAGGAAGGACAUCACCCACAGAAGAAGCACCGGCUAACUCCGUGCCAGCAGCCGCGGUAAUACGGAGGGUGCGAGCGUUAAUCGGAAUUACUGGGCGUAAAGCGCGCGUAGGCGGUCUGAUAAGCCGGUUGUGAAAGCCCCGGGCUCAACCUGGGAACGGCAUCCGGAACUGUCAGGCUAGAGUGCAGGAGAGGAAGGUAGAAUUCCCGGUGUAGCGGUGAAAUGCGUAGAGAUCGGGAGGAAUACCAGUGGCGAAGGCGGCCUUCUGGACUGACACUGACGCUGAGGUGCGAAAGCGUGGGUAACAAACAGGAUUAGAUACCCGUGUAGUC
rnacentral:rRNA from 1 species